rnacentral:rRNA from 1 species
AUAGCGUAUAUUAAAGUUGUUGCAGUUAAAAAGCUCGUAGUUGAAUUUUAGGCCCGGUUGGACGGUCUGCUCUAGGGUUUGUACUGUCCUGACUGGGUCUUACCUUCUGGUGAGCUGUCGUGUUGUUUACUCAGCGCGGCAGGGAACCAGGACAUUUACUUUGAAAAAAUUAGAGUGUUUAAAGCAGGCAUACGCUUGAAUACAUUAGCAUGGAAUAAUAGAAUAGGACUUUGGUUCUAUUUUGUUGGUUUCUAGGACCGAAGUAAUGAUUAAUAGGGAUAGUUGGGGGCAUUAGUAUUUAAUUGUCAGAGGUGAAAUUCUUGGAUUUAUGAAAGACUAACUUCUG